GUGGCUUUGAUCUAGUCGGUCGUCUGUGCUGGUGGCAACACAUGUGCACGUCAACUGCAAAUCCACACACCUGUGCAUCUUUGACUGUGGGGUCCGCUUGUUGGUUCAUUCUGACGAGCAGCUGGUUGACAUUGUGUUGACUGGGGUCUCAUGGUAUUUUUUACACACUCUGAAUGUAAUGGAAUGUCUUGUGCAUAACGCAUAUAAAUACAACUUUCAACAACGGAUCUCUUGGCUCUCGCACCGAUGAAGAACGCAGCGAAAUGCGAUAAGUAAUGUGAAUUGCAGAAUUCAGUGAAUCAUCGAAUCUUUGAACGCACCUUGCACCCUUUGGUAUUCCGAAGGGUACGCCCGUUUGAGUGUCAUUGUAAUCUCACCUCUACGGCUUUUGUCGUGUGAAGUGGACUUGGGCAUUGUCGUGUUGCAACGACUGGCCUGAAAUGCAUGAGUGUACCCUGCUGUUGCAGCGUCUUCAGUGUGAUAAUUAUCUUCACUGAUCCAAGUUCCCUUUGGGACACGCGAGCGACGUGGGCUCUGCGCUGCGAACCGUCUUUGGACAAAGUUUGACAAUUUGACCUCAAAUCGGGUGGGAUUACCCGCUGAACUUAAGCAUAUCAUA
rnacentral:rRNA from 1 species